UUCUAACUUUUAUGUUACGCAUGGAUCAUGAUUAGUUUAUGUGCAGAUUGAUUAGAGUCUUCCCAUGACAUUAUAUCAAGGUGCAAAAUUGAUGAUAGUGGCCUCAAAAUAUAGGCUGUUGCUUUGAAGAAACAUAACAGCAUAUAUCCUUUCUUGUCGAAGAUUAGGAAGGUUCACAUUACCUAUCAGCCUGAAAAGUUGUUUCCUCCCACUUCCUUUUAUUGGUCUGUUUGAGUUGAAUUUAUCUAGCGUUCUGUGAUACAAUUGCUGCUCAAGAAGUCCAACCUGUAGGUUGGGUUCCGAAUGAGUAUAAGUGCAGUUGUGUGGUUGCAAAAUCUAAGUAAAUCUAUUGAAACAGGUUUCACACUUUCCAUUUCCCCACGGGAGAUACUAGUGGAUGGUUUGUCAGACUGGUAUUGAUGGAGAAGAGGAUGCUGUGUUAUGGUUUCACUAUAGCCUGCAACGAUGGGUUUAUCACCGUCAAAUCAGCAUGUCAAACUUCUGGAACACAACAGAAGUUGGGAACUCCCUUCUCCUUGGAAGAUUUCCUGGAAUUCUAGAGCACCGGUGAGAGCUAGCUUUCUGUCCUGAGAGUGUUUGAAGAGAAUUCUAACUACAAAAGGAUUUGAAGAGAAAAAGAAUGGUGUUAGCCAAUAGAUGUUUUCUUUCUAAGCAGGUCAAAGAAUCUGUUUCUUCAUAUUCUUUUUCAUUGUGCAGGGUCUGACGAUCUUGGAGUGCAUUUUUCUUGGUCAGUUGGGCUGUGGUGUUCUGUUAGAGAGGACCUUGCUUGUUGAGGGUUGAAUUGUCCUUAAUAUUGGAGAAGCCCUUCCGUUUGUAAAACCAGCAUCCAUUUUGUUUGGAUGGAUGGCUUACCACAUUACUUUUUCUGCAUUGUGGUGGUGCCCUUUAGCUGGUCAGAUUCUUCAGUUGCUUAGAUUUGUUAUAGUUUGUUUAUGAAUG